UUGAGCCAGGAACUGUGAUUCCUGUGCUCUGUUGAGGGCUAGCUCUUCAGAGAAGAAACCUCUCAGAGACUGAGUAAGCAGGGCAGAAGAGGGAUGGAGAUGGGUAAAAAUAGAAUCCAAAGUGAAGUCUAGUCUUGGCCCCAUCCAGGGGUGCAGUGGGAUAGUGGGGCUUGGGUCAUGGAGUGUGAAAUUGCUCUGGGGAGUGGUCCUUCUUAGAGAGCGGCUGGCUGGAGUUUUUAUCACCAAAACCAAACUGCUGGGAGCAUUCUGAUGCCUGGGACUGUUCCUGCCUCACCCUGCUGAUCUUAAAAAGACUAUGAUGGGACCUUAUCAGUGAUUCUGCUAAACUGGUCCAAAUCAUGAGUAUCACAUAUAUACUCCCCCGUUUCUCUUCUUCCUUCAACCUUCACUAUAACCCCACUUCCUUUCUCUGACAUGUCACUGUGGAGUUGGCAGGGGGAUUAAUUGGAAAGUUGACAAAUAUAAUACAAUAAAUAGGGAAUAUUCAAACUUUGAAACAAAUGA